rnacentral:sRNA from 2 species
UGCAUCUGAAGUCUGACGAGGAUGAGAACCUCCGGGGGCAAGAGGUUCGACUCGAGCGAAGCGAGAGAACGUUGCGUCAGCAACG